rnacentral:rRNA from 1 species
GACGAACGCUGGCGGCGUGCUUAACACAUGCAAGUCGAGCGGUAAGGCCCUUUCGGGGGUACACGAGCGGCGAACGGGUGAGUAACACGUGGGUGACCUGCCCUCAGCUCUGGGAUGAGCCUGGGAAACUGGGUCUAAUACCGGAUAUGACUCCAUGACGCAUGUUGUGGGGUGGAAAGCCUUGUGCGGCUGAGGAUGGGCCCGCGGCCUAUCAGCUUGUUGGUGGGGNGAUGGCCUACCAAGGCGACGACGGGUAGCCGGCCUGAGAGGGCGACCGGCCACACUGGGACUGAGACACGGCCCAGACUCCUACGGGAGGCAGCAGUGGGGAAUCUUGCGCAAUGGGCGAAAGCCUGACGCAGCGACGCCGCGUGAGGGAUGACGGCCU